CUUUGUAACCUCUCUGGCUAUUUAAGGUCUCUUCAAUCUAUGAACUUCCUCAAGGGAGAUUGCAUAUCUUUCAUGGUAUUAGAGCUAUAUCGUUUUUGAUUUUUCCGCUUCCUAAUUUUUUUUUCUUUUUUUCUCUUUUUCUUCUCUCUCUCGUUCUCUUCUUCUUCAAAUUGUUCUGUUUUUUUCUUUUUUCUUUUAAUGGUUGCCCCUCAAGCCAAUUUGGAGAGAGCAUUUGGUGUCACAAAGGAGCGACGACACAUCUAUCCUCCACAACAGGAUCUUCAAACCCGGAAAAUCCUUCUCUGUUGUGAUAGUGAAGGAGAUCUGUACUCCCUUCCAGCCUCUCUCAAUAAAACUCAGCCAUCUUCCACUGCUCUCUUGGCCUCAACUCCUUCACUUUGGCACAAACGUCUCGCUCACACUCAAGAUUCUUUACUUUCAAAAUCGUUUCGUUUGUAAUAAAAACAAGAUAUCUCAGUCUUGUGAACCUUGUCAAUUAGGAAAACAAAUAAAGUUGUCAUUUCAAGCUUCA